rnacentral:rRNA from 1 species
GACGGAGGGUGCAAGCGUUGUUCGGAAUUACUGGGCGUAAAGCGCGGGCAGGUGGCCUUUUAAGUCCUUUGUGAAAUCCCGGAGCUCAACUCCGGAUGUGCAUAGGAUACUGGAAGGCUAGAGACUGGUAGAGGCGAGCGGAAUUCCUGGUGUAGCGGUGGAAUGCGUAGAUAUCAGGAAGAACACCAACGGCGAAGGCAGCUCGCUGGGACGGAACUGACGCUAAGGCGCGAAAGCGUGGGGAGCGAACAGG